UACGUAGGGGGCGAGCGUUGUCCGAAGUUACUGGGCGUAAAGAGCGCGUAGGCGGGCUUCUAAGUGAGAGGUGAAAGCCCGGGGCUCAACUCCGGAACUGCCUUUAAGACUGCAUCGCUAGAAUUGUGGAGAGGUAAGUGGAAUUCCGAGUGUAGAGGUGAAAUUCGUAGAUAUUCGGAAGAACACCAGUGGCGAAGGCGACUUACUGGACACAUAUUGACGCUGAGGUGCGAAAGCGUGGGGAGCAAACAGG
rnacentral:rRNA from 1 species